GCCCUAGUAACGGCGAGUGAAGCGGCAACAGCUCAAAUUUGAAAUCUGGCUCUUUUAGGGUCCGAGUUGUAAUUUGCAGAGGGCGCUUUGGCGUUGGCAGCGGUCCAAGUUCUUUGGAACAGGACGUCACAGAGGGUGAGAAUCCCGUACGUGGUCGCUAUCCUUCGCCGUGUAAAGCCCCUUCGACGAGUCGAGUUGUUUGGGAAUGCAGCUCUAAAUGGGAGGUAAAUUUCUUCUAAAGCUAAAUAUUGGCCAGAGACCGAUAGCGCACAAGUAGAGUGAUCGAAAGAUGAAAAGCACUUUGGAAAGAGAGUCAAAUAGCACGUGAAAUUGUUGAAAGGGAAGCGCUUGCAGCCAGACUUGCCUGUAGUUGCUUAUCCGGACUUUUGUCCGGUGCACUCUUCUAUAGGCAGGCCAGCAUCAGUUUAGGCGGUUAGAUAAAGGUCUCUGUCACGUACCUCUCUUCGGGGAGGCCUUAUAGGGGAGACGACAUGUAACCAGCUUAGACUGAGGUCCGCGCAUCUGCUAGGAUGCUGGCGUAAUGGCUGUAAGCGGCCCGUCUUGAAACACGGACCAAGGAGUCUAACAUCUAUGCGAGUGUUUGGGUGUCAAGCCCAGACGCGUAAUGAAAGUGAACGGAGGUAGGAACCCUUUGGGUGCACUAUCGACCGAUCCUGAUGUCUUCGGAAGGAUUUGAGUAAGAGCAUGGCUGUUGGGACCCGAAAGAUGGUGAACUAUGCUUGAAUAGGGUGAAGCCAGAGGAAACUCUGGUGGAGGCUCGCAGCGGUUCUGACGUGCAAAUCGAUCGUCAAAUUUGGGCAUA
rnacentral:rRNA from 1 species